rnacentral:rRNA from 1 species
UUAGCCCUAAACUCAGACAGUUAACUAAACAAAACUGUCCGCCAGAGAACUACUAGCAACAGCUUAAAACUCAAAGGACUUGGCGGUGCUUUACAUCCCUCUAGAGGAGCCUGUUCUAUAAUCGAUAAACCCCGAUAUACCUCACCACCCCUUGCUAAUUCAGUCUAUAUACCGCCAUCCUCAGCAAACCCUAAAAAGGAAGAAAAGUAAGCACAAAUAUCCUUACAUAAAAAAGUUAGGUCAAGGUGUAACCCAUGAGGUGGGAAGAAAUGGGCUACAUUUUCUACACCAGAACAAACCCUUCACGAAAGCCCUUAUGAAACCUAAGAGCUAAAGGAGGAUUUAGUAGUAAAUUAAGAAUAGAGAGCUUAAUUGAAUCGGGCCAUGAAGCACGC